rnacentral:rRNA from 1 species
UGACGCUGAGGCACGAAAGCUAGGGGAGCGAACAGGACUAGAUACCCUGGUAGUCCUAGCUGUUAACGAUGGGCACUUUGCUUUGGGGGACCUGAUUCCCUCAGGGCCGGAGCUAACGCGUUAAGUGCCCCGCCUGGGGAGUAUGCUCGCAAGGCUAAAACUCAAAGGAAUUGACGGGGGCUCACACAAGCGGUGGAGCAUGUUGUUCAAUUCGAAGCAACGCGAAGAACCUUACCUGGGCUUGACAUGCUAGUGGUACAAACCCGAAAGGGGGCGGACCUCUUAACCGAGGAGCUAGCACAGGUGCUGCAUGGCUGUCGUCAGCUCGUGUCGUGAGACGUUGGGUUAAGUCCCGUAACGAACGAAACCCUUGUCGCUUGUUGCUACCGGGUCAUGCCGGGCACUCUGGCGAGACUGCCGGUGCAAACCGGAGGAAGGUGGGGACGACGUCAAGUCAUCAUGGUCCUUACGUCCAGGGCUACAAACGUGCUACAAUGGCAGGUACGGAGAGACGCAAAGCCGCGAGGUGGAGCAAAUCUUCAAAGCCUGCCCCAGUUCGGAUUGGAGGCUGCAAUUCGCCUCCAUGAAGGUGGAAUCGCUAGUAAUCGCCCAUCCGCAACGCCGCGGUGAAUCUGUUCCUGAGCCUUGUACACACCGCCCGUCAAGCCAUCCAAGCUGGAAGCACUUAAAGUCCGGCGCC